rnacentral:sRNA from 1 species
CUUUAGCCCCGAUAGAAGUGAAAAUCCUUUUCUUUUUUUCUUUAAAAAAGAAAAGAUUGUAACGGAUAGCGGGAACCAUG